rnacentral:rRNA from 1 species
UACGUAGGGUGCGGGCGUAUUCGGAAUUAUUGGGCGUAAAGGGCGCGUAGGCGGCUGUACAAGUCAAAGGUGAAAUCCCUCGGCUCAACUGAGGAACUGCCUUUGAAACUGUACGCUUGAGGCCGGGAGGGGGUAGCGGAAUUCCCAAUGUAGCGGUGAAAUGCGUAGAUAUUGGGAGGAACACCAGUGGCGAAGGCGGCUACCUGGACCGGUUCUGACGCUGAUGCGCGAAAGCGUGGGUAGCAAACAGG